AUUGUGCUUAAUUUAGUUUUUUUUUUUCAUUUUAGUAAAGUUUUUUUUUUUUCACCAUAUUUUGAUUGGAAAGGCUAUUAAUAAAAUUAAAGUUCUGCGCCAUAAAAUAAAAUAAUUUGACAAUUUUAUUAUAAAGUUCAACGUUCAAGGAUGAAAGAUGAAAUAUAAUCUUAAAUUAAACUGCAUUUUCAUCAUCUGACAAUCAAAAUUAGAAAUAAAAUAUUUAAGAAACGAUAACCUACACCAAAAUACAUAAAUUACCCAAAAAGUCACAAAAUCCUUUAUACAUUCAUAAUAAUAAUUUAAUGUUCUUCCAUUUAUUUUUAGUUUAUGAUGCACUGAUCCACUCGUCAGACACCUCCUGAUAUAAAUAUGAGCAAAUGGAGCAGUAUUUUCUUGCACACUGUAGAUGUUUCUUGAUACUUUCAGCCUUCUUGUUGAUCUCAUCCUCAUUCCACUCCUCCACAUGCUUAUGCAAGUUUUUCUUGUUAGUUAAAAAUCUCCACGUUAACUUCUUGUCUUCUAGCCAAUAACAGUGACGAGUAUCAAGAUAAAUUAGAUUCUUUUGACCAUCCAAUAUAAUUGACAAUGCAUCAAUUGAUAAAGCAGAGCGGAGAACCAAACUCUUCAGUUGAGGAAAAUUUCCAGCAAUAAUAGAUGCAACAGUGUCCCCUAUUGCUCCAUCCAGGCUCAGUGCGACAAUAUUUUGACAAUAUUUGCCAAAGUUUUUCAGCAUUCCUGGCCAAUAAUGUGCAUGCUUCAAAUUUGGCCAAUAUGGCAUCAAAUUAGAGAUGGAUUCUAUGGCACCUAAAGGAAGCUCAGGUAAUAUGAAAGACUCCAAAGAAGGCAAUCUGGAAUAUCCAUCGUCAAAAAGAUCAGAAAAUAUCAAUACUCAACUCAACUCAACUCA
rnacentral:misc_RNA from 1 species